GGGGGCGACCUAGAUUCGACGGAGGUACGGUUUCGCAGGAUGCGUGCCGAGGACCAUUAACCUCGACAAAAAAUGGAAACAACGUUAACUGCCAACACGCAGUACGCACUCGCAGCUUAAACACCUGUGAGCGUCCACCCCGGCAAGCCUGCGGGCCGGGGACCGGAUGUCAUUUAAGCAGGCUGGCUACUGACGGCUACCUCGGACGUCAAUAGCGAGAUUUUCCGGGGCUGGUGCUCGGCGGUUUUGCCGUUUCUUCACGCCAGGCACGAGACAACAGAGGCGGAUACGCAUCGUAGAUUCCUGCGGAGAUGUAUUUUCGGACGGGGGUGCGAAUCCCCCCGCCUCCAUCU
rnacentral:tmRNA from 1 species